CAGCAGCCGCGGAAUACGUAGGGUGCAAGCGUUAAUCGGAAUUACUGGGCGUAAAGCGUGCGCAGGCGGUUAUAUAAGACAGAUGUGAAAUCCCCGGGCUCAACCUGGGAACUGCAUUUGUGACUGUAUAGCUAGAGUACGGCAGAGGGGGAUGGAAUUCCGCGUGUAGCAGUGAAAUGCGUAGAUAUGCGGAGGAACACCGAUGGCGAAGGCAAUCCCCUGGGCCUGUACUGACGCUCAUGCACGAAAGCGUGGGGAGCAAACAGGAUUAGAUACCCCAGUAGUCCCUGUCUCUUAUACA
rnacentral:rRNA from 1 species